AUUGAACGCUGGCGGCAGGCCUUACACAUGCAAGUCGAACGAGACGCGUACGGGUGAGUAAUGUCUGGGCAACUUCCCGAUGGAUGGCUAUACCUACUCGAAACGGUUGCUGAUACCGCACACCAUCGGCUGUGCCCAGAUGGGUUUAGCUAGUAGGUGGGGUAACGGCUCACCUAGGCGACGAUCCCUAGCUGGUCUGAGAGGAGGACCAGCCACACUGGAACUGAGACACGGUCCAGACUCCUACGGGAGGCAGCAGUGGGGAAUAUUGGACAAUGGGGGCAAGCCUGAUGCAGCCAUGCCGCGUGUAUGAAGAAGGCCUUCGGGUUGUAAAGUACUUUCAGCGGGGAGGCGGUACUCGCAGAAGAAGCACCGGCUAACUACGUGCCAGCAGCCGCGGUAAUAC
rnacentral:rRNA from 1 species